UAAGACUGUUGAUAAAAUCUUUUAAGAGAUUGUCAAUUAUUUUGUUAUUUGAAGUGAAGUAUGAUUUUAAUGUUAAACUAACAAAUUGUUAUAUUAAUGUUUUAUCAGUGCAAACAUGAAUAAUACUUUGAAGUAGUAAGUUACACAAUUGCUAAUUUCAAAACCAGAAUACGAAGCAAAUUCAGCUGCGGAUGUCAUCAUAAGUAAAUUAUAUACGUGGAAAUGUUAUGCCAGCCUAUCGCUUGAAGUUCCUCGAAAAAAAUCUUACGCUGGCGCAUUAUUAUUUAAUGCCUUUAUCUCUUUAGUUUUUGGAAUCCAUCAAGUUGAAAACAUUUUUUCUUGGCUAACGCAGAAACCUGGGAGAAGUGACUGAGACAACUGAAUGGACUAGGCUAUCAUAGGCUGGAUCUAAAUACAAAGAUACAUUUAAAAACUAUACUUAUCCAUACAAAAUUGCUGAGCUGUCAAUUUUUAAACGUAUCAUUCUUUUAGGAAUUAAUCAUGGUCUUUAAUCCAUCUUAUAAUUACACACCUUUUGAAAAGCUAUGUCGUAGAGUCGGAAAUGUAUACAAUGUAGCUACAACCAGUUAUCGUUACACGAAACUUACUCUAGUACAGGAUUUCUCAGGUUACACAAUUCUCAUAAUUAGUCCUUGAGAGUGAGGCUCGCCAAUUAUUUCCGAAAUAAAUUAAAUCUGUCGUAUUAAAGCAGGGCUUAAUAUUAUUUUAAAGUUUGUUUUGGGCUAAGGAGAGUAACCACGUAGUAUCCAUUCUACUUUUGAACACUUACAGAAUGAUUUCAAGAUGAAUUAAAUACGUCAUAACGAUAAUAAUCCAAUGUUUGUUGUCCUUUAGAUGUAAAUAUUGCGUGAUAGCUAUUGGACAAAAUGUUCGGUGUUAACCGCUGCAGGACCAGGUGGAGUAUAAAGUAAUUGUUGGAUAUUUAUCCAUGGAAACUUAAAACACAGAACAAUUAAUUAUUUCAUUCUUCUUAUUUGUUUCUUUACACAAUAUUUAUAAUAAAAUCAAUUUACGUUUCAUAUUGUUCUACAAAAUAUAUGUACAGACCUGUACGAGAUUUAACACACCAAAACUUGAGGAAAAGGUACCACUGAACCAACUCAUAGUCUAUGGCACUACUACCCCUAAGAGUUUUACAUUUCACACGACAUACAUAAAUAGCAUGGUACUGCUAAUAAAGACCAAGACAAUCUUCACAGACAGCGGCAGAGACUUCACUUAGAACAAUAACAAGAACUGUUUGUACAUACCGGUGAACACUCUUCUUCUCUGCAGGAGGACAAGUGACAUUCAUUGUACGCGAAUAGGGCCUAAGCCGACUUCUCUCCGCUGCUGGAACACCGGAUGGAUGUCUCGCCACCUAAGCAGUUUACUCUGAGAAUACAGCCUGUCUCGGUUACGUGUCAGCUCUGCUACUCUUUCCCCUCAGUUCCUGGCUCUCUAACUGGGAUCUGACAGCGGCAUCCGAUACGACAACCUUUGUAAAUCCUGGAAAGAUGUGGUGUUAGGACGGGGCGGCAACACUUUACUUACAACACGUUACAAGAAGAGCUGUUUGCGCACCGGAGGAUAAUCUUCUCAGCUGGGGGACUCGUGGCCAUUCAUU